GGGUACGAGAGGGCCGCUACCACGCGAGUGGAUGCCAAUCCCUAAAACCUCUCUCAGUUCGGAUCGAAGUCUGCAACCCGACUUCGUGAAGCUGGAUUCGCUAGUAAUCGCGCAUCAGCCAUGGCGCGGUGAAUACGUUCCCGGGCCUUGUACACACCGCCCGUCAAGCCAUGGGAGCCGGGGGCGCCUGAAGUGCGGUACCGCGAGGGCCGCCCAAGGGCGAGACCGGUGACUGGGGCUAAGUCGUAACAAGGUACC
rnacentral:rRNA from 1 species